CGAAAUGCGAUAAGUAGUGUGAAUUGCAGAAUUCAGUGAAUCAUCGAAUCUUUGAACGCACAUUGCGCCCCUUGGUAUUCCAUGGGGCAUGCCUGUUCGAGCGUCAUUUGAACCCUCAAGCUCUGCUUGGUGUUGGGUGUUUGUCCCGCCAGAGUGCGUGGACUCGCCUUAAAGUCAUUGGCAGCCGGCCGCCUCAGCUCGGAGCGCAGCAGAUUCAGCGCAUCGAAGUCGGGAGCGGUGGCAUCCAGAAGCUCUUAUUUUCUACGUUUGACCUCGGAUCAGGUAGGGAUACCCGCUGAACUUAAGC
rnacentral:misc_RNA from 1 species